rnacentral:ribozyme from 1 species
UUCUUUGUUUUUUUUUUUUUUCGUUUUUUUUUUUGAAAUCCCCCG